UCUCCGUUGGUGAACCAGCGGAGGGAUCAUUACAGAGUUUAUUAUAACUCCUAAACCCAUGUGAACCUACCUUCUGUUGCCUCGGCAGGCAAGUCGUAUCUUGCUACCCUAUAGGACCCUAUCUUGUAAGACGUUACCUUAUAAGGUCCUAUCCGGUAGAGAGAUGCGGUACUACCUGCCGGUGGACUGAAAAAAAAAUUCUGUUUAAUAAAUGGUAUUCUGAAUCAUUAUAUGGAAAUUAAGUUAAAACUUUCAACAACGGAUCUCUUGGUUCUGGCAUCGAUGAAGAACGCAGCGAAAUGCGAUAAGUAAUGUGAAUUGCAGAAUUUAGUGAAUCAUCGAAUCUUUGAACGCACAUUGCGCCCAUUAGUAUUCUAGUGGGCAUGCCUGUUCGAGCGUCAUUUCAACCCCUUAAGCCUUGGUUGCUUAGUGUUGGAAGCCUACCGCAUUCUAUGCUGUAGCUUCUUAAAGUUAGUGGCGGAGUCGGUUCAUACUCUAGGCGUAGUAAAGAUUUUAUUCUCGCCUGUAGAGAUGAGCCGGUCCCCUGCCGUAAAACACCCCCCUAUUUUUUAUAAGGUUGACCUCGGAUCAGGUAGGAAUACCCGCUGAACUUAAGCAUAUCAAUAAGCGGAGGAAAAGAAACCAACAGGGAUUGCCCUAGUAACGGCGAGUGAAGCGGCAACAGCUCAAAUUUGAAAUCUGGCCUUCGGGUCCGAGUUGUAAUUUGCAGAGGAUGCUUUUGGCGCGGUGCCUUCCGAGUUCCCUGGAAUGGGACGCCUUAGAGGGUGAGAGCCCCGUACGGUUGGACACUAAGCCUCUGUAAAGCUCCUUCGACGAGUCGAGUAGUUUGGGAAUGCUGCUCUAAAUGGGAGGUAAAUUUCUUCUAAAGCUAAAUAUUGGCCAGAGACCGAUAGCGCACAAGUAGAGUGAUCGAAAGAUGAAAAGCACUUUGAAAAGAGGGUUAAAUAGCACGUGAAAUUGUUGAAAGGGAAGCGUUUGCGACCAGACCUUUUCUUGGCGGAUCAUCCGGUGUUCUCACCGGUGCACUUCGCCAGGCUGAGGCCAGCAUCGGUUUUUGUAGGGGGAUAAAAGCCUGGGGAACGUAGCUCCCUCGGGAGUGUUAUAGCCCCUCGCAUAAUACCUUUACAGGGACCGAGGACCGCGCCUCGGGCAAGGAUGC
rnacentral:rRNA from 1 species